UACGUAGGGUGCGAGCGUUGUCCGGAAUUAUUGGGCGUAAAGAGCUUGUAGGCGGUUUGUCGCGUCUGCUGUGAAAUUUCGGGGCUCAACCCCGAACUUGCAGUGGGUACGGGCAGACUAGAGUGUGGUAGGGGAGACUGGAAUUCCUGGUGUAGCGGUGAAAUGCGCAGAUAUCAGGAGGAACACCGAUGGCGAAGGCAGCACUCUGGGACGGUACUGACGCUGAGACGCGAAAGCGUGGGGAGCGAACAGG
rnacentral:rRNA from 1 species